AACAAACAACGUGCUCUCCUUAAGCCAUCCUGACUGCUCUAACAUCCUGCUUCCACUAAAAAUACUGACGGCCAAAUUCACAAAUAAGAGACAAGAUGGAAACUGAUUGAUUUCACACCGUUCCAAAAGACUCAACUAGAUGCCAUGCUUGCCUGUCUCCAUGCACUAAUGAGAGGAUCUCCUAAGGUUCCCGACGUUCUUCCUGCCCUGCCUGGUUCAAGGCCACCUGAAAACUAUACACCGAGCCCAGGCAGAAGCACCUGGAUUUCCACUGAGGUCUCCAAGAUGGUCAAUGGCGAACAUUUUCUACACUUUAAUGGCAGCAUAACAAAGAAGACGUCUAAGGAAUUUUACUCAUCAGUAUGGAGUAAUGGGCAGGCAUAUUGAAAUGGUCUCUGGAGUAAUGGGCAGGUAUAUUGAAAUGGUC
ensembl:lincRNA